rnacentral:sRNA from 1 species
UCAUGAAAGAAACAAAUAUAAAUGAAGUUUACUUUCAAAUGUUUCCCAUGAUUAGCCGCUGAACAAAGUGAUGCGACAAUACAUAUU